rnacentral:lncRNA from 1 species
CUGAUGAAAUAGGUAACAGCAGAAAGGCAAGUCAAGCUAGAAGGAGAAGAAAAAAGAUGUUUAAUCAAUAAAUUAAAAAAAAAAAAGUUUUUUAUGUAGAGUAAUUUUUAUGUUCUUAAACAAUCAGGCCACAAUACAAAUGUGAUUGCUUUUAAAUCAGGUAGUGUCUGAUGCUGGAGACUUCUUCCACACUGAAGGAACAAUGGCAAUUCUUAAGGAACAGAACAGGAGCAUAAAGGGAGAGAGAAGCAUGUAGUAUUCCUUCUGCUGCAGAAGUUCAGCAGCCCAAAGAGAAACACACGAAUGGAUACAAAUUCAGAAAAUGAAGCCUUUCAUAAAGAUAAUGUGGCGCAUUCAAUGAUCUACAGAAAUGAGGGAAAUUGUAAGCAAUUUUCUCUGCCAGUUUGGCUUUCUUUUCAUCUCUCAGAAAUAUUUUAGAGAUAACUCACAUUACUGCCUUGAAGUUUAAAGAGGAAUGGAAAUGGAUGAGUUGGAUUGUCCUUUAUCCUGCCUUUCAUAUGGGGCAAUUGUGAGCUAAAUCAGGCCACGUGGCUAUAUCUUAUGCAGGUGUAAAUGACUGAAGCGUACUUUCAAAGUGUGAUUCAGCUGUCAUAGUUUAGUUGUCUGUUUUCAGAUGAGAUGAAUUGCAUUGCAGAAAUGCCAGUUUAUUCUUAUUGACUAUAAAGGGAGCCUUGGGUGACCAGCUCAGAUAAAAGGAAAACAUAACCAAAAAUGGGAGAGAGUAUCCGAGAAAGAGUGUAUGAGCAUGUAAUGAAAGAAUGCAUCAUCACUCUUACAGGCUCUGAAGCUAAAUGAAUAUUGCAUGCACCACUGCCAUCUCACAUUUAGUAAGUACUUAUCUUUCAGCCUUCCUGUUAUCUCAGGGUAACGCGCUAUAACAGUCUACCAAGAGGAUUCACAUCAUGGACAUGAACGCACUCACAUACGUUCUUCUCCCCACUAUUCCCUCAACAUGAAGAUGAAGUUUCUCAGGAGACAAAGAACUGUUCAACACUGUUAUGAAAUCGAGGACAGAAAUCCAACUGGGAUAAUGUGCAAAGCGUGUGGAAUUAAGGCAAGAAUCACAGAAUUGCAGGAAUUGGAAGAGACCUCAAGAGUCCAACCCCUGCUAAAGCAGGUUCCCUACAACAGGUCACACAGCAGGAGAAUUCAUCUGAACCAUGAACAAAGCAGUCCAUACUGGAGUUCAGGAUUAUCUUUUUACUUCUUUCUUUGUGGACUGAAAGUAUGGAGAGGAUAAAACAAAAACAAAAACAAAAGAAACAAAAACAACCUGAAGAAGAGCCUUUGCGAAUAUAUGAUUUAUGGAAAAAAAAUGUGUAAUACGGAAUGUCAGCUCUUCUGGAGGUCUUUUGCCUUUUGGCACUCUCCAUUCAAAGGAGCACCCAAGAUUCCCAGUAUAAUCUGUGGUAUGCAUGUAUGUCUAUUUGUCAUAGCUGCUCCCAGUGGGAGUUUUAGUGCUGAAUGAAGUGUCAGUAAAGGUGCACUGCCAAUGACCAUAUUCAAACAUCCUUUCAUUAAUGCAACCUUACAGUGAUCUUAGCUCUGUCCAUGUUCCUAAGAAUUUAUUCGGAAUUACACCUUGUCUAUCUUUCCAUGAAGAUGAUGGUUGAUUAAAUGUCUGGAAAACCUUCUAAGUGUCUUUGUUUCUGUUCCACUGAAUAAGUGCUGCAACUGUUGUACGGACAGGAGAAAUAGAUAUGAAGAAGCCUUCACAACAAGGAAGGCAUUUGUGGUGUAGGUAUUUCUUUGUUUCCAAUCUGGAGCCCACUAAAUCAGCAAAGUCCCACCCAGCACUUGCUAGAAAGUGUUUUUUAGUCACUCCAGUCUGAGGUGUCUGGCACAUGUAUUUUGCUGCCCACUUUGCAUUUCUUUACUUUAGAACCUUGAAUUUGGAGUUACUUCCACAAAUGUACACCUUUAAUUUUUCACUUAAAGUAGGAUUUCAAAGAGAUUCUCUGAUUACAGCUAAAGUGGCAGUACAAGAAUACUCCUUAAUUCCUGAGUCUUGAUCCACAUCCUCACCGGGUCCAGUUCUGCAGGGCACUAUCUCCUCUCUCUCCCCAUCCCACUACAGCACGCUACUUUCCAUGAGCAGGAAGAAUCACUGAGCAGAAAAGGAUUGGAGGUAUCUUGUUAGCAGAAGCCUAAAUUCCCAGUCCAUGAACGUACACCUCCACUGCAUGACAUAGAAAUCUUUGCUCACAGUUCACAAAUACUUGCUCUGAGCCCAUCCAAGUUUGAUUGAUUGGUCAAUGUCCAUAAUAUUUAUUAUUAAUAUUAAUAUUAAACAAUGAGUUUUCUUCCAUUUAACAAAACUAAAUGGAUGGUGAUCAAAUGAAAUGAAAUAACUGGCUGAAAAUUUGGGAUGAACAGAGUUCCUUCAGCCAUCAGUUCUAGCAACCUGAUGUUCUUGCUCUCUCUUCAGUGUACUGAGACAAGAAUUUAGAGAUCAUUUCCAUUUAUCUUUCAUUUGUUCAUGUAGAAAAUAACAAACUAAAAAUUUGUAUCUGAGCAAUUUGUGAAAUGAGAAUUUUUCUAAUUCAGCAUAUGUGUCUCUUUUUAUCAUUUCAGUGGCUGAACAUCCAUACCAUCAAUGGAAAUGGAGACUAAGUCUUUAUCUGAGUCCAUAUCACAUCUAUGGGAGUUUUUCCAUUGACCUCAAUGGGUCAAAGGGAUCAAGUAUUUUAUUUUAUUUUAUUUUAUUUUAUUUUAUUUUAUUUUAUUUUAUUUUAUUUUAUUAUUUUAUUUUUUUGUUAGAAUUUCUUUCCAUCAAGUUGGAGAAACAGGAUGUAAAUAUUGAGUCACCGUCCCCAUUGCUAACCAUGCACCAAGAUUAGCCAGUUGGACUUGGUGUGGGACUUACCUCCUAAGAGGUCAUGAUCCCCGUGACCGAGGAGCCCAUUCAGGUAGGGAUGAGUGAAUUUUUGCUUUGAAAUAGAUGUCAUCCAUCAGUAGAUACUACAAGCAAGACCUCAAGUUCCAGAAAUUUCAACACUUUCAAGUCAAGGUAAUAUCCAUUUGCUCUGCUGAAUUCAGAUCUUUAAUUUUAGAGCAGGCAGGACUUUGCAGCCUGGAAUACAUUAACACAGAGAAACAAUCAUUUAAUGUAGUAGCCAAGUAGUCAGGUCACUGACAAUUUACAGAGUAAAUACUUAGAAAUAGUCUCUAUCUUUAUUGGUGUUUAUAUUCAGAGAUAAUUAGUAACUUGUGCACAGACACAAAGUAAUUGAUGUAAUGAUUUAUUUUGAACUUGUUCUUCUCUUGCAAGAGCUGCUUACACAAGGGCAUACAUUAGCUGGUUUGUUGAAAAUAUUUAAUUUUGUAACUCUUUGCUGACCAAGUAUAAAGGCCUAGCACUAAUUGUACAUGUGGAGAAUUGACUUCAAAAUGCUGCUCAAUGAGAAGAGAAAACCUAGUGCAGAGAUGUCCAAAGUGAUGCUUGCUGUGAUACAAGGGGGUGUACUCUUCUCUCCUGUAAAUUACCAUCAUCAGAGUGAGGAUCAUAAGACAGGGGAGGUCACAAGAGGGAAAGUAGCCAUACUGCUACGCAUCUUCAUCCUCUUCUUCUCCUUACAAACAAUGCACUCCCUGUCAGCUUAGUCCUUAUUUCUGCAUGAAAGUGCAUGAGUGCCAGUGGAGAAGGUAAGCCUUUAUUUUGUCCGUGGAAUGGGGUGUGGGGAAUAUCCCGUUCAAGGUUUUAUAUGGCGUAGUGGUUCAGGAAGCACUGCUAAUAUUGCAGGUAGCAACAGUGAGAAGCUAAGCGAUGUAUCACGUUUUCUUUUUGAUUCAUGCUUAUGAUUCAGGGCUGGGAUCCAUCCUGGACUGCUGCUGGUUUGGGCUGUUGGUGAUAAAAUGCCAAAGCGCAGCUCGUUUUACAACUUACAUCUAUUGAAACUGCCAACAGAGCUCCACUGAUGGAGAGUCACACUCUUCCCAACAGCUUUUAGAGCUCAGUGAAACCAAAGCUGCGAAGAAGAUGUAAUAAAAGAAACUGAAGAGGAAGUGAAAGGGAAGAAGACUGUGUGAUUUUUGAGGAAGAAUCUACAUGCAGGUGAGGAUGGAGUCAAAGUGAGAGCACUGCACUGCAGCCAGUGAGCACAACAGCAAGUGCAGGGGAGUUGCUGCCUCAGUAUGUAGCAGGUAAAACAACAUUGCUCUGAAUGCUACUAUGCAGCAGGUAGUGAGCUCAGUACAUUUUUUGCGUGGAGCAAUUCAUCUAUACUUCAUGUAAAGCCACCCAAAAAUCCUCUGAUAAAUUAAAUUCAUAUAUAUUAAAUUCAUGCCAUCCAGAGGGAUCUGGACAGGCUUGAGAGAUAUGCCCAUGCCAACCUCAUGUAGCGCAGCAAGGCCAAAUGCAAGGUUCUGCAUCUGAGUUGGGGCAGUCCCAAGCACAGAAACAGGUUGGGUGGAGAGUGGCUUGAAAGCAGCCUUGAGGAAAAGGAUUUGGGGGUGUCAGUUGAUGAAAGGCUCAAUAUGAGCCAGCAAUGUGCGCUUGCAGCCCAGAAAGCCAACUGUAUCCUGGGUUGCAUCAAGAGAAGCGUGACCAGCAGGUCGAGGGAGGUGAUUCUGCCCCUCUACUCUGCUCUCAUGAGGCCCCACCUGGUGUACUGCCCCAGAACAAGAAGGACAUAGAGCUGCUGGAGCCAGUCCAGAGGAGGGCCAUGAAGGUGAUCAGAGGGCUGGAGCAAUUUCCCAAUGAGGAGAGGCUGAGAGAGCUGGGGCUCUUCAGCCUAGAGAAGAGAAGGAUCCAGGGAGACCUUAUAGAGGCCUUCCGGUACCUGAAAAGGGCCUACAGGAAAGUUGAAGAGCUACUUUUUAUAAUGGCAGGUAGCGACAGGAUGAGGGGAAAUGGCUUUAAAGUGGAAGAGGGUAGAUUUAGACUAGAUAUUAAGAAGAAAUUCUUUACUGUGAGGGUGGUGAGACACUGGAACAGGUUGCUCAGAGAGGCUGUGAAUGCCCCCUCCCUGUAAGCAUUCAAGGCCAGGCUGGAUGGGGCUUUAAGCAACCUGGCCUAGAGGGAGGUGUCCUUGCCUAUAGCAGGGAUCUUAAAGGUCCCUUCCAACUCAAACCAUUCUCUGAUACUAUAGUAUUACAGUGCCCAAGGUAUACCUGCUUGGCUGUCAGUAUGCACACUGGAUGUCAUGACUGGAUGCUAUUGGAAAGCAGACGGAGAGGAAAAUUUAAGCAGUAAGCAUACAAUUAAAUCUCCUCAUGCCUGGGAAGUCAUACAUGUGAAAAAGGGAAACACUGUCCUGGUCCAGAAGAGGUAGGUCUUCAGCAAAGAGCUUGAAACUGAAGGACACAACACAAAGUCUACAUGAAUAAGAUAUCAAGUGACUUAAGAGCUAAAGGUUUUCACUUAGUUUCAGUAACUUCAAAAUUUUAGAGUGUCAGUGGAAGAGCUAACAAGUACCUAGAGGCAGGAGGCAGGGAACACAAUAGUCUUGAAAUGGUCUAGGCAGAGCAGGAGACAAACAUGUGGAAGGACAAGGGAGCAGGGAAAGGGCAUUGCAAAGGGUCAUCAGUAUGAGUAGAAGCUUUCUCCAGUGUAAAACGGAGAGAAGAUUGAGGGAUGGAUUAUGUUUAGAUACAUGACUCAGACUGCUGAUUUUGAGCUCCGUUUCUGAACAAAUUGCCCCAGGACCUUCACCUGCUGCAGCCCAUGUCUGCACAGAGGUGCAUCUCCCCAGGCUGUACGCCACCUUCACCACCACUACCCUCCCUUCUCCCAAUAGGAGUCAGUCAAAAGCAGUGAUCAACAUGGAAAAGACUACAUAUUGAACUGUGAAAACAGUAAGAGAUGUAUGCAUUCCUCCUUGAUGCACGUAGCCUUUAACCUUCAGCCCAGAUUGCUGAGCCUACAUGUGCUGGGCAUGCUGGGAUCUAGGGAUGGAGGAGGAUGGCUAAGUUCAUCUCUUACUUUUGUGCCUAAGGUACACGAGGAAAUAACAAUAUGAAGGCAGAUCAAAGGUCCAUCUAGCUCAGCGCCUUGGUAGGGGUUGGGAGAAAUUCCUUAGGGAAGAUCCUUGAGAAUGGGCAGUAUAGCAGCUGAGGCUCCACUUAGAACAGCCCGUUGGCUUCCAGCAACUGGCAACUUACAGCCUCACUGUCCCCAGGGUUGUGUCCAGACCACCAAGUUUAACAGCCAUUGCCUUACCUUCCCUGAAUCUGUCUAAUCCCUUCUUGGACCCAUUACUUCACAGCUCUGUAAUAGACGUUCUCACAGACACCACUUGGCAGUGAUACACGUAUGGGAGAAACCAAGCAUGCCUGAGCUUGUUAAAGAAAAUAAAAAUACAAGACAGAGUGGACUUCCAGAGCCUUCCUUCCCUCCCAGCCCUCUUUUGAGGCCUUGGUUUCUCAGCUCCUCUGCCUACCAGGGGCUGCUUUCUGCCUCCUCUAGCUUCUUCUGCAGGCAGAAGCCCAGCCAGGAGGAUGGAAGCUGGAUGAAGCAUGCUGGUGACAACCAGCUGCUCAUCACAAGUUUUAAAAUGGCCCUGAUGCUGUAUUUCACACAAAGGCAGGUGGGCUGAGGAUGGUCCAGAUAAAUCAGGUCAUACAUCUGCUGUGGAAAGCAUGCCCCAAGGGCCAGAUGUGUUCCGCAGCACUUAUGUGCUCCACUCCUCCAAUCGCCCCAGGAGCAAGCCAACUGGGUCCCUUUAAAAUCUGCCCCUUUGGUGUUGCUACUACACCACUAAUGAUUUACCUCUGUUUAGCGCUGGCAGAAGCAGUGGCUUUGUUGACUUGGGUGUGCAGCUGGUUCCUGGACAUUCCUGGGGCAAAUCUCAUGAUUGCUGAUGCCAGUGAAAAGCUAUGCUGAGCCUGAUGGACCCACACAGCAGCAAUGGGAUCUGUCAACAGAGAUUGAUGUCAGCGUUAAAUCCAACUGUAGCUAAAGGGCAUCUCUGCUGGGUUGUGACAGUAGCAAAACCAUGUUGAAAGCCAGAUUUCAUCCAAUGCACUACGAGGGACACUUUAAAACAAGUUAAAGGGUUUUAUGACCUGAUUUGGCCUUAUUUGCUCUGAGCACUGCUGCCAUUGAGUACAGCACUAAUCUGGUUUGGUCACAGUAGAGUUCACAUUUUUAUGGGCUGAUGACAAAUUAGUAUGAGGCUCAUUUACUUUGCAUAGAACAAGCCAUCAGCUCCCAAGCUGCAUGGGCAACCAGUCCUGCUGAUGCCGAAUUACCUGCCUCUCCAAGAGCCAUUUACCUACAGCAGUCUUGCUUCAAAAUCACAAGUGACCUUCACUGAGUUUUUGAGUAUGUCCUUUGUUCUACACUCCUGGAAUCUCCUAGGGAUGUUUUGAAACUGCUGUUGGCUUCCUGGGGGAGUGGAAGCAGAUGGGUCAGUUCAGAUACAAAGAGGGCAAAGGAAUAUAAGAAUGCAUACACCCUGUGCUUCUAAAGCAUCACCUCUGGUCUGCCAUGUCACAGCUGGGACAUAAUUCUCAGGAUUUCACCUUCUUAUUCCCUUGGUCUGAUACAUUUCUUCAAGCCACCUCACAUGCAUUCUCUGGGCCUGGCCAUGUUUCACUAUGCUCGUCUUCCUCCAUCUCCCAUUAGCAAAUUCUAGCACAGUUUCACUCCACAGCUCUCAGAUUUGUCAUUGCUUCUUUUGCUGCGUGGUGUGUAGAACUCACAAUGCGGCAGGCAACAACAGGAAUCAGAAGCAAAGCAGCAGUUCUAUCAGACAGAGCUGGACUCAACAGACCAGCAGAGCCCAGAAGAACGAGGAGUCUCACAGGACAGCACAGGCAUCUGAGACGGAGGCGUGUUGCUUUGGCCAGAGCUUUCUCCUGGGGUGGCUAACGAGAGAGGUCUGCUCACACUGAGCACUGCUUGGAGACUUUCCUGGCAGUUUUUUUUAACACCUCUUCUUGUUCUCACUUGUUAUCUGUCAACAGCUGAAGCCAGUUGGCUUCAUGGAGGGCGUACAAAAGGGAGCAAUGAAGAGAGUGGAUUUCCAGUCACACAAGAACGCAGUGCUUUAACAAUGGCAACAGAUAUCCUCGGCUUAAUGUUUUGUCGUAAUACAUGGAAAGUAAGAAACAGUCCAUUGAUACUGAGCACUUUAAUGAAUAAAAAAAAAAAACGAAAAAAGGUUUCAUUCCAGACUUUAAGAAUGCCAAUAUUGUGUAAUAAAAAUGGUAAACAGAAUGUUCGGAGCUUUUGCUUUGAGUCCCAAAAUGAAAAAAGAUGAAGCUUUAUUACUUUUUUUUUUUUUUAAUACAGUCUAGAGCCUUUCACUUUGGCUGCUAAUACAAAGAUGAUGGGAUAUAACACUGUGACACAGCAGCUGCCUUUUCAAUGAGGAAAGAGCCUCCAAACUUUGGUUUGCUAGUAUGACAUUCACCAAGAGACUAUUUAAUAAAAAAACAUGUAGUAUGAGGUCAGGUAUCUACAAGCUGGAUCCGGAUCCAUUAGUACAAAUGGACUUCAAAGCUUUGAUCCAUCCGUUUCAAACUGAAGGGAUCGUGUUGGCAUGUUUUGAGAGAAUAGACAUAUGCUCUGGAUGUCCAUGUUCCUCUUCAUCAAAAUCACUUCUGUGUGGUCAAGAGGAAGCAAGUGUGAGGAUGACUUGAGACGGGCAGUGGGUGCCCAUCUUCAUGCGCUGUACAUUGAGAAUGGCUAAAAAACAAAAAUGAAUUGGAA